GUAGUCAUUUGCAUUUCCGCUGGAAACGUAUAGCCAUUUCCAUGAGUGGAAUACGGCUUACUUUUAUGAUGUGCAAACCGAUCUAGGCGAACUUCUAAAGUGCGGCCCAUGAAAUCAGUGUUAUGCAACAUUUGAAUGGCAUGCAUGGCUUCUUUCAUCGAACUCAUGACAACAAUCCCAAUGCCACGGGAUCGGCCUUCUUGGUUCAUUUGGAUAUCAGCUCGGAUAACAGAACCAGCUUGUCUAAACAAAUCCUUUAAAUCUUGCCAGCGAACGUUAUACGGUAACUAUACUCGUUAGUACCAUUUCUUAUUUGCAAUUCCACAAUUCAUUAAAAUACCAAAGUUCGAGGAAAAGAAUAUAGAGGAUUAGAAAUUGAACUUACGUUACCAACAAACAAUUGCCUGUCUGGCUCAGAAUCUUUGCCAUUCGACG